AGGAAACAUCUCAUUUUACAAGUCAAAGCGGCAACAAUGGAUUUCACCGAGAGAACACAAGAUAACAAGCAACAGAAAAUACAAGAGCAAGUUUGAAUAAUCUAGAUAGAAUUUUUGUAAUUUGUAGAUCAUAGCUUAGUCUAACUUCUUCUUUUUUUGACAUGGUGUAAUAAGGAAGGCCGACGAGCAGUAGCAGCAGUAAAAUCCC
rnacentral:lncRNA from 1 species